AGAGUUUGAUCCUGGCUCAGAGCGAACGCUGGCGGCGUGCUUAACACAUGCAAGUCGAACGCGCAGCAUUCUGUAGCAAUACAGGGUGUGGGCGCGUGGCGAACGGGUGCGUAACACGUGGAUAACCUUCCUUGAGGUGGGGAAUAACCCAGUGAAAAUUGGGCUAAUACCGCAUAACAUGACGAUGGCACAUGCUGUUGUCUUCAAAGGCGCAAGUCGCCACAAGAGGGAUCCGCGGCCGAUUAGCUUGUUGGCGAGGUAAUGGCUCACCAAGGCAUUGAUCGGUAGCCGGACUGAGAGGUUGGCCGGCCACACUGGAACUGAGACACGGUCCAGACUCCUACGGGAGGCAGCAGUGGGGAAUCUUGCACAAUGGACGAAAGUCUGAUGCAGCAACGCCGCGUGGGGGAUGAAGCUUCUCGGAGUGUAAACCCCUUUCGACCCGGAAGAAUGCCCGCAAGGAUAUGACGGUACGGGUAUAAGAAGCCCCGGCUAACUACGUGCCAGCAGCCGCGGUAAUACGUAGGGGGCCAGCGUUGCUCGGAAUUACUGGGCGUAAAGGGUCCGUAGGCGGUGUAGCAAGUCGAUAGUGAAAUCUCUGGGCUUAACCCAGAGGCUGCUAACGAAACUGCUGUGCUAGAGUGUGAGAGAGGCGAGUGGAAUUACGGGUGUAGCGGUGAAAUGCGUAGAUAUCCGUAGGAACAUCCGAGGCGAAGCGGCUCGCUGGAUCACAACUGACGCUGAGGACGAAAGCUAGGGGAGCAAACAGGAUUAGAUACCCUGGUAGUCUAGCCCUAAACAUCAGACUUGGGUUUGCCUGUACGGGCAGUCCCGUAGCUACACGUAGUCUGCGCUGGGGAGUACGUCGCAGCUGAACUCAAGGAUGACGGGGG
rnacentral:rRNA from 1 species